CCCGCCACGCCUCUUAACAAUGCGGACCUCGGCGGGU
rfam:Legionella israelensis strain Bercovier 4 Lisr_ctg041, whole genome shotgun sequence.